rnacentral:rRNA from 1 species
UACAGAGGUCCCAAGCGUUGUUCGGAUUCAUUGGGCGUAAAGGGAGCGUAGGCGGGUCUGUAAGUCAGUGGUGAAAUCUUCGAGCUUAACUCGGAAACUGCCAUUGAUACUAUAGAUCUUGAAUUAUCUGGAGGUUAGCGGAAUAUGUCAUGUAGCGGUGAAAUGCUUAGAUAUGACAUAGAACACCCAUUGCGAAGGCAGCUAACUACGGUUAUAUUGACGCUGAGGCUCGAAAGCGUGGGGAUCAAACAGG